CGGAGGAUCCAAGCGUUAUCCGGAAUCAUUGGGUUUAAAGGGUCCGUAGGCGGUUUAGUAAGUCAGUGGUGAAAGCCCAUCGCUCAACGGUGGAACGGCCAUUGAUACUGCUAGACUUGAAUUACUAGGAAGUAACUAGAAUAUGUAGUGUAGCGGUGAAAUGCUUAGAGAUUACAUGGAAUACCAAUUGCGAAGGCAGGUUACUACUAGUGGAUUGACGCUGAUGGACGGAAGCGUGGGUAGCGAACAGGAUUAGAUACCCUGGUAGUCCACGCCGUAAACGAUGGAUACUAGCUGUUCGGAGCAAUCUGAGUGGCUAAGCGAAAGUGAUAAGUAUCCCACCUGGGGAUACGUUCGCAAGAAUG
rnacentral:rRNA from 1 species